CAUUCAAAUCUACUGCUAUUUGAGAUGCCUUAGGAUCCAGGACCUGACUGUCCUGGAUACUGUAGGUUGCCUCAAAUGUCACUUUGUGCUUUUGUUUAGUCAACGGCAUCCUGGUCCUAAAUUUAUAUGUCUUAGUCUAAGGUUGAGUCAUACCACAAAAGAAUGAUACAGUUACCUUAAACACAAGUUUUCUUCUAUGUUAGAUACCCUAGGGUAACCCUGACAUCUGCAGGUGUAUAACACGUAUUCCACAGGAUUUAUAGAUGUGAGCGCUUUUGGAGUGGCAGCUGGAGAGAUAGAUACCCUCAAGGUCUAAUGUGACACUAUAAACUUAUGUUCAGGUGGCUGAAUUGAGCCUUUAGUAACCAGAAACAGGGUUCUCAGGAGAAGAAGUUAAUAGUGGCUUCAUUAUCUUCAACACUUACUCUCUUUCACUGCCAUUUCUUCCCAUUUCUCCCAUGCUUUAGUCAGUUAAUUCUUUUCUCACCCUUUUUCUGUCAGGGGCUGGAAAAAGGAAGAGAUUUCACCAUGCAAUAAGAAAAUAAGAAUAGUGCUACAUUGUUGGGUACUGCUGGGGUGGCUUCCAAGCAAGCAGGUUUAGAUGUGCAUACUCCCCAUGUUCCAGGCAGAGCCAGCAUGGUUGGAGUCCCAUGAAAGUCUGCCAGUGUGGACUUUGUAGAUGUAUGUGUGUAUAUGGGUGCUUUAUUUGGGUCACCUGCUUCACUCGGAAGGAAGUAUUCUGCUGCUUAGACUUUAGGAGGUCAGAUGUGUUUCGUUCCAUUCAGAGUCUGAAGUGGUCUGCCAGGUUAGGUAAUGAACCAUAAGGGAUGUCAGCAGUGAAAAUAGAAGUGCUACUUGUACUUUUAUUCCUUUGAUGAUUUUUUUUUUUUUCCUGAGCCUGAUUGACUGGGGCGAGCAAAGUAGGUAAGAUGAAAUGGUUAUGGAAGUAUCGGAAGAGCUGGAUAAUAACAGUGCCUGAAUUAUUUGUGGAGGCAUUCUCUUCUUAUUUACUAUAUGAUCAUCAGUUAAAAGCCAUACUUGAUCUGUCACUCUGUGUCCAUUUACAGACAAAACUGGUAGCUCAUUGUGUCUUUUGAAAUCUAUUUGGACAGAGGACUGAAACAUUUUUUCUUUGAUGAGGGACUUGUCACACUUACUCAUGUCUUUGUCAUUCUAAGCAAGAUUUCUGUAACAUGGUCUGCUUUAAAGAGAUUUAUAAAUUUCUGCUAGAAAAGACCGUCAGCAGCUCAUCUUUUUUGGGGUGGUCACUAAAUAUCAUUCCAUCAUUGCUCUUCCAGCAUUUCACUCUGAUUUCCAGUUUAACACCAUGUGAACCAGACAGUUAUUUAUCAUUUUGUAAGUCCCGUAUAUACAAUAGCUCAAAAGAAAAGUCUUUUUCCUAUGAGAAAUCCUGAUAGAAAAGAAAGUUGUAACCAAGAACAGAUUUAUUUUGAGGAGGGAAAUUAAAGUUUUUUUUAAUUUAAUUUUAUUUUUUUUAGUGAUGGGACAUGUAAGACAGGGAUAAUUUUACAUAGAAACAGCUUUUGUGACAGUGAGGUCAUCCCGCCUACACACAAAUGCAGUCAGCUUGACACCAGGAAUUCAUUACGUGCACAAGUAUUCAGCUACAAAAUAUGUUUUGGGGGUAUGGUUUUGUUCCUUUCUCUGAUUUGCCUUCCUCUCACUAUUAGAAUUAAGUUCAGAGGUCAUGACAGAGAAAUUCCUAGUGCAGGAAUAGCAAGAUAGCUAUAUCAAACUUCAAUGACUGUCAGUAAAGGCAGAACAACACUGGACAAAAACAAAAAAACAAACAAACAACUUUUGAAGGGAUAAGGGAAGUGAGAAGCUUAGCUUCAUACCUAAGGUGCCAAGAAAGAAGAAAUUUGACUGUGGCACUGGAGGUGUGAGUCUGAGAAACUCUACCUAUGAGAGAGAAAUGUGCAAUUCUGAGCAGAUGUGAAGCUGUACAGUCAAAGAUCUGGCCUACAGAAGCAGAAAAAUAUACACAGAUAGAUUUUCUUUUGUCUAUCUGACACAACCUUUUCCUUCAGAAAUACAUUUUGAUGGGAUAUUUUCAACAAGCUCUGCCUGGUUAAUUUAAGAGAGAGGAAUAUCAACACCUUCUGUGCCUGUUAUUAUGCCCAGCCUUCUACUUCUGUAGGCAAUGAUGCCAGAGACGUCUGCUCAGAAAUAUGUGAACUGCUUUCCUCCAUACAUCUUGAUUAUGAAUCAUGUGGAAUUAAUUUCACUGGAACAUCUCUGGAAGAAGUUGCCCUUCAUGUGACACAAAUAUCAUCUGCUCAGUCCAGAGUACUAUGCAAAGGACACUUAUAUAUGGUAUUCAUUCUUUGAAGUACUGCUCUGGCAGUUGCUACUUUCUGGAAACUGUUUUGUAUGCUCCUCCAUUACAGAAAUAUAAUGUUCAGAUAGUAUGGUGCUGAGUGUCUGUUUGAAUGUACAUUAAGACACACAAAUCAGCAAAUUAAUUAUCUUUGGUUGUUACCAAAUUCUGCCUUUAGUUCCCCACCAUGGGGGAAAAAAAGUUCACAGAGUUCUUUACAGAGUAAAAAAUGCCCAUAUAUUUUAUGAGAAAACAUUUUCCACUUUGAAAACAUAAAAAAAACCUACAAAAUUGCAUUAAACUUGGCUGAAGGUUUAUAACAUAUGACAGUCUUUAAAAAGGCAAUAUAUCUGGAGAUUUUCGUGACUUCAUAAAGAUACCCAUUACACAUGCUGAAAGUGCUGCACAUUAGAUACUCUUGUCUUGGAAUGUAAUUGCCUUAAAGGUGUAAAGGACCCUGAGCCUAACAAUUCCCCCAGCAUGUCUAUUCUCCAUUUCUGUUCUACAGAAGAAGCUAGAAGGAUGUGGUAUCAUCAAAGAGGCAUGUGUUGGGAGAGGGAAGAGCUAAUCCUUAAAUAGUUGUGCCCUGCAUCUCAACUAAGGAAUGAAAAUCUUGUGAAGGGAUUUCCUGAAAUCUUACAUACGCUGUAUCCCUCAACCUAUUAAAUGCUAUAAUUGUUGCACUAAGAUAAGAGAUGACUCCAAAGUAAUCCAUGCUGGGUGGCCCUAGGUAAGAAAGUAUUUAUUAAUAUCCCAGAGUUGUGCCACUCAGUGAUAGUGAUGGAAAUUUGGCAAACCAACUCUACUUCUGUCAGAUGAGUGAAACAGCCACUUCACUCAAGGCUGAAUGACAGAUAGAUGUAGAGAUCAUUGUAUUAGGGAAAUAAGAAGAGAUGGCUUGUGAUAAGACUGGUGACUGAAAGAGAUGACAAAAAAAAAGAAGAGGAUGGCUUUCUUGUUUCUCACUGCUCAUGUGUGCAGACCCAUCUGCCUCAUGGUGAUGGCAGCAGGGCUGGAGGAGGUGAUGAGGACCUCUGGGCAGGGCUGUGCAGAAGACAUCUGUGGCUGCUAGUGAUGAAAGGAGGAUGUGGAAAGAAGGAGAGGUACCCAUCAGCUGGAUGUAGCUGUUGUCUAACUCCAGGCACUUUGUAAAUGAAAAUAUCCAUUUUUGGUUAUUUUUUUAGUUAUUUUUCUGAUUGCAGUUUUCACGUAGAUACUUCAGAUGUCCUUAUACCCAUAAUGAAAUGGUUUCCAUUUUUCCAGUAACUAAGAAUAAGUCAUGGUGACAAUAAGCAUGACUUAGAAAAACCUCAUGGUUCUCAUUCUCAACACAGCCAUGUAUGGGGGAAACAAAGGUAAAUUAGACUGUUUAGAAGGCUGCCUUUUUUUUUUUUUUUUUGUCUGGUUCCAGCUGGCUCUCCUAUGCUUCAAGGCAUUCAAUUCAGAGACCCCAAGACAAUGGAGGCUGUUCAGAGUAAAUAGUCUUACCCAUAGGCCACAUUCACCUGUUUCAACCUUGGUAUUUUCUGCAGUUACCAUGAAGACUCUGCUGCAGUUUGAUGUAGCACUGGAGACGUAACACAGGUCCCUUUACUGAGGUCAUGGGGCAAGUAAGAAGCACAACACUUUCUACUCUUGGUGGAGCAGCACAUGAUGGAUCCCACAGUAUGCAUACAAAAAGUCAGAUACAACUCACUUUUGUAUACAAGUAAUUACUUCAUUAUACAUCAUGACGUGUUUUCCUAAUGAUCUUUUCCCAUGCCUCUAUCAUGAUUUUUGUAAUUGGUUCGUUACUUUAGGCCUGUGCUCAGCAUGCACUUGGGUGCCAAUCAUUACCAUCACCAUGUGUUCAGUUCAAGCUAUGUAUCUUUGAGUGCUAUAUUUGGUUGUUUUCUGGUCCCUACACACUAUUUAUACAAUACCACAUAUGUUUUCUGGAGCCCUCUGAUGAAAUGCAGACAUACUGCUUGUUAGGCUAUUGUCUAGCUGCUAAUCAGUAGCAAUUCCCAGAUGCCCUUCAGUGGCAAAGUUACAAUAAUUGGGCUUUCUGGUUUUCAGGUCUGUGUAGUCUGUAACUUCAUCCUUCACUGAUGCUGGCCCUUGGCCUGUUAAAGGAAACGGGACCCACAGAUGAAAAUUAUGGUGUUCUGAGAGUCUUUUGAAGUCCUUUUGAAACAGAAGUACAACAGAGACUAAAUUUGGCUACUUGCUUUUUCUCACUCACACUGAAAAUACUAACUCUGGAAGAGUAAAGACAAGUCCACUGUCUGUCCAAAACACAGAUUCUACAAGAAAUCCAUAGACGUAUUUUGUUUAUUAGAUCCUGCAUGAUAUAGUCUGCGCUCUGGUGUUUCCAACACAGAUUCAAAACCAAGUGAAAACCAUGUUGGAGCAGCUCUAAAGUCAUUUCAGUGUUUAUGACUUCCUGCAUGCUCCACAGCCACAGGAUGCAACUUGUGACUGAAGCAGUCAGUUCCUGAUCUCUCCAAGCUGGGGAUCGUCUAAAACAGAUACUCAGAGUUCCUUGACCUGAGUGGCUCUUCUCUGCACCACCAGAUCUGCAGUGAGAUCAAUCCUCUUCCUGAGACCUGACCUCUGUAACAUCUUUAUUAGUGACCUAGAGGAGGUGAUGAACUCAUCAAAUCUGCAGAUGACACCAGACUGGGGGGCACCAGUAGAUACAGUCAAGGGCAGAGCUGCCAACCGGAUAAACCCAGACAGUCUGGAGGAAUUGGCUGAAAAAAUUCAUGAAAUUUUAUUGGGACAAAUACAAAGCCCUGCAAUUGCAAAACAACAACAACAACAAACAAACAACUAACCAUCAAAUAUACAACAACAACAAUGACAAAAACCAGUCAACAAACAAACAAAAUACUUGCAGAGAUGUAAGCUGGGUAUAUGUAGUGGGUUUACAUGGCAAGGUUUUGGUAGCAGGGAGCCAUAGGGGUGGUUUCUGUGAGAAAGAUCUAGAAGCCGCCGCAUGUUUGGGAAGGGCCCCAUUGUUUUCCAGAUCUGAGCCAAU